GUCUUUGUUUUGACCAGUCGAUCGCCGUUGCUGGCGCUGCCAUUGCCCAGUUCGCUCUUGCUCGUUUAUGGCCGCCAGCAGAGCCCGCACAUAAAUUACUCGCUUCUGCCGACCUACCGUUCGCCUAGCCCACUGUCCACCGUCUGUCCGCAUGUCGUCAGCUGUCCAUCCAUCUAUGUUAGCUAGCUGGCUGUGACUGUGGCUGUGUCUGUGACUUACCUGUCGACACAUACACAGGCAUGUAUAUAUAGACUACAUCAAUGUAUUGGUGCCUGGUGAAGCAGUGCGUCCUUCUGUUUUGCCGUCGCUACUUUGACUCCGAGACUCGAGAGGCAUAAAAAGUCAUGGCAAGUGCCAUUCGAUACGAUGCAGCAGAAAUCCAAUAGAUCACAGCUGGUGGCCAUUAAACCUCCAACCACUGCAGUUAUGCGCUCGCCUGAGUUUUAUGGAGCUGCUGCACACCGUAGACGUUGCGUCGACAGUUUUUUCCCAGAAAAAAAAACACACAUGCAAUCAGCACCCGGUCAAAUACAGAUAUAGCCCCAUAGAGUGAGUGAGAGAGAGAGAGAGAGAGAGAGAAAGAGAGAGAGAGAGCAGUUGAGCCCUGGCAAAUGCACUCAGCACUUAUUAGGCUUUUGAUAUAUGUAUGUCCGAAUGGAGACGAC